rnacentral:lncRNA from 1 species
AAACUAAGGUUAAAAGUACUUUAUUACAUCGCAUCAUUCAGGAUUUAAAUAGUACUUACAACCUCACAUGACCCCUUGGGCCAGCAUAAACAAAUACUGUUCAACAUCAUAAAACAUUGUUUUCAAAACUGCAGUGGAAAAGGGUAGAACAUAAGGGCCACAACUACUCCAAGGUGAGAGCAUGUUGGAAUGGAAAGCACAUGACCCACAACAUAACGACGAACGUCAGUCAUC